rnacentral:lncRNA from 1 species
GGGCCUACCACAUCUUAUGUGGAGUCUACUCUCUGCACCUUCAUGUAUAUCUAUUUGAGGUAAUCACGUAUAUCCCUGCUCUAUGUGCAUGGACUUCUGAUGCGACCUUGACUCUUUAGCGAGGGCUAUGGAUCAUUAUCUUUGUAGUACAAUAUCAUAGCAUCUAAUUGGAUGUGUAAUUGUAUGACAUCCAAUUCCAUAACUAUCAUAAGAACUAGAAC